CCACCGGAGGAAGAGGAGCUAAUUGCAUACAUGCUUUGAGGCCUUGGAUCUGAAUACGAUCCAUUGGUGACAAGUACCACCACACACACUGACAACAUCAAUGUCAGUGAUGUGUACGCACACAUGCUCAGUUAUGUGC